rnacentral:rRNA from 1 species
GACGAACGCUGGCGGCGUGCUUAACACAUGCAAGUCGAACGGAGUGCCUCGGAAAGAGAUUUCGGUCAAUGGAAGAGGUUACUUAGUGGCGGACGGGUGAGUAACGCGUGAGGAACCUGCCUUUCGGAGGGGGACAACAGUUGGAAACGACUGCUAAUACCGCAUAACAUAUGUUUGUCGCAUGGCAGAUAUAUCAAAGAUUUAUCGCUGAGAGAUGGCCUCGCGUCUGAUUAGCUGGUUGGUAGGGUAACGGCCUACCAAGGCGACGAUCAGUAGCCGGACUGAGAGGUUGGCCGGCCACAUUGGGACUGAGAUACGGCCCAGACUCCUACGGGAGGCAGCAGUGGGGAAUAUUGGGCAAUGGGCGCAAGCCUGACCCAGCAACGCCGCGUGAAGGAAGAAGGCUUUCGGGUUGUAAACUUCUUUUAAGAGGGAAGAGCAGAAGACGGUACCUCUUGAAUAAGCUCCGGCUAACUACGUGCCAGCAGCCGCGGUAAUACGUAGGGAGCGAGCGUUGUCCGGAUUUACUGGGGUAAAGGGCGUGCAGCCGGGAGUACAAGUCAGAUGUGAAAUCCCGCGGCUCAACCGCGGAACUGCAUUUGAAACUGUAUUUCUUGAGUACUGGAGAGGCAGACGGAAUUCCUAGUGUAGCGGUGAAAUGCGUAGAUAUUAGGAGGAACACCAGUGGCGAAGGCGGUCUGCUGGACAGCAACUGACGGUGAGGCGCGAAAGCGUGGGGAGCAAACAGGAUUAGAUACCCUGGUAGUCCACGCUGUAAACGAUGGAUACUAGGUGUGCGGGGACUGACCCCCUGCGUGCCGCAGUUAACACAAUAAGUAUCCCACCUGGGGAGUACGAUCGCAAGGUUGAAACUCAAAGGAAUUGACGGGGGCCCGCACAAGCGGUGGAUUAUGUGGUUUAAUUCGAUGCAACGCGAAGAACCUUACCAGGGCUUGACAUCCUGCUAACGAGGUAGAGAUACGUCAGGUGCCCUUCGGGGAAAGCAGAGACAGGUGGUGCAUGGUUGUCGUCAGCUCGUGUCGUGAGAUGUUGGGUUAAGUCCCGCAACGAGCGCAACCCUUAUUGUUAGUUGCUACGCAAGAGCACUCUAGCGAGACUGCCGUUGACAAAACGGAGGAAGGUGGGGACGACGUCAAAUCAUCAUGCCCCUUAUGUCCUGGGCUACACACGUAAUACAAUGGCGGUCAACAGAGGGAUGCAAAACCGUGAGGUGGAGCGAACCCCUAAAAGCCGUCCCAGUUCAGAUCGCAGUCUGCAACCCGACUGCGUGAAGUCGGAAUCGCUAGUAAUCGCGGAUCAGCAUGCCGCGGUGAAUACGUUCCCGGGCCU